rnacentral:rRNA from 1 species
GACGAACGCUGGCGGCGUGCUUAACACAUGCAAGUCGAACGGAAAGGCCCUGCUCUUGCGGGGUGCUCGUGUGGCGAACGGGUGAGUAACACGUGAGUAACCCGCACUUGACUUUGGGAUAACUUCUGGAAACUGGGGCUAUUACCGGAUAGGAGCUUCUGAUGCACGGUGGGGGUUGGAAAGUUUCGGCGGUUCGGGCUGGAAUCGCGGCUUAUCAGCUUGAUUGUGGGGUAGUGGCUUACCAAGGCUUUGACGGGUAGCCGGCCUGAGGGGGUGACCGGCCACAUUGGGACUGAGGGGCGGCACAGACACCUACGGGAGGGAGCAGUGGGGAAUAUUGCACAAUGGGCGGAAGCCGGAUGCAGCAGCGCCGCGUGCGGGAUGACGGCCUUCGGGUUGUAAACCGCUUUCGCCUGUGACGAAGCGUGAGUGACGGGAAUGGGUAAAGAAGCACCGGCUAACUACGUG